rnacentral:rRNA from 1 species
AACGAACGCUGGCGGCAUGCCUAACACAUGCAAGUCGAACGACACCUUCGGGUCUAGUGGCGCACGGGUGCGUAACGCGUGGGAACCUGCCCUUAGGUUCGGAAUAACUCCCCGACAGGGGUGCUAAUACCGGAUAAUGUCUUCGGACCAAAGAUUUAUCGCCUUUGGAUGGGCCCGCGUUGGAUUAGCUAGUUGGUAGGGUAAAAGCCUACCAAGGCGACGAUCCAUAGCUGGUCUGAGAGGAUGAUCAGCCACACUGGGACUGAGACACGGUCCAGACUCCUACGGGAGGCAGCAGUGGGGAAUAUUGGACAAUGGGCGAAAGCCUGAUCCAGCAAUGCCGCGUGAGUGAUGAAGGCCUUAGGGUUGUAAAGCUCUUUUACCCGGGAUGAUAAUGACAGUACCGGGAGAAUAAGCUCCGGCUAACUCCGUG